CAGAGUCUUGAUUGUCUUCAAUGUCAUCAAUUGAAGAUAAUGGAACGAUUGGAGAAUCAAAUUCACCGAAGGCAAAAACUUCUGACUCCUGAACUAGAACAGGUUUGCCCAUAAGGGAAUCAUCCUUUUCGCUAGUUGAACAACAUGGAAUAUCUUGGUUAUCAUCAGCAUGAGCUCCUACCUCUGGUUCCACUUGUACAGCAACAUCCAGUUCGUCUCCAGUUUCAUUAAUAAAAGAAUGUAGAGCAAGAUUGGCGUGGAUUUCUAGAUCGUGUUUCACUUCAACAACAUCACUUGAAGGAGAGCAGCAUCCUUCACCGGUCAUCUCUUUAUCCAACAAAGGAGAACU
rnacentral:lncRNA from 1 species